rnacentral:rRNA from 1 species
AGCCUGAACGCUGGCGGCGUGGUUAAGACAUGCAAGUCGCACGGUGUAGCAAUACACAGUGGCGAACGGGUGAGUAAUGAAUCGCUAAUGUGCCCCGGACUCUGGGAUAGCUAGCCGAAAGGUUAGGUAAUACCAGAUGACAUAUUCCUACCGCAUGGUCGGGAAUCUCAAAGGUCCGCCGGUCUGGGAGCAGGCGAUUUCGUAUCAGCUAGUUGGUGAGGUAACGGCUCACCAAGGCGACGACGCGUAGCCGGACUGAGAGGUUGGCCGGCCACAUCGGGACUGAGACACUGCCCGGACUCCUACGGGGGGCUGCAGUAACGAAUCUUCCCCAAUGCACGAAAGUGUGAGGGAGCGACGCCGCGUGUGGGACGAAGUCCUUCGGGAUGUAACCACUGUCAGGGGAUACCAAGUUCUGAGGAUCCCCAGAGGAAGAGGCGGCUAACUCUGUGCCAGCAGCCGC